GCUUUCAAUUUCUUCCAUGAACUGUUUGAAAUUGAUCUCAACGGAAUCGGAAAUAACAAGAAAAAAAAUCGAUUGACAUUAUAAUCAUCGGGUGGCAGUUUUUGAGUAGAUCCAGUUCAUUCGAUUCAGCAUUAACAUUUCGUCAGAGUCAUAAGAAGAACUAAAUUUUCCGACAAAAAUUUAUCUA